GUAAUGGCAGGUCAGCAUACUGCCGUGAAUACGUUCCCGGGCCUUGUACACACCGCCCGUCACACCGUGAGAGUUGGGAAUACCCGAAGCCUGUGAGCUAACGUUAAGAGGCAGCAGUCGAAGGUAGAAUCAAUGAUUGGGGUGAAGUCGUAACAAGGUAUC
rnacentral:rRNA from 1 species